UACGAAGGGUGCAAGCGUUACUCGGAAUUACUGGGCGUAAAGCGUGCGUAGGUGGUUUGUUAAGUCUGUUGUGAAAGCCCCGGGCUCAACCUGGGAAUGGCAAUGGAUACUGGCAGGCUAGAGUGCGGUAGAGGGUAGUGGAAUUCCCGGUGUAGCGGUGAAGUGCGUAGAGAUCGGGAGGAACACCAGUGGCGAAGGCGGCUACCUGGACCAGCACUGACACUGAGGCACGAAAGCGUGGGGAGCAAACAGG
rnacentral:rRNA from 1 species